CCACUAUUUUCUUGCAAUGAUAUUAUUCCUCCCCCUGCCGAUAUUUGUCCCGGAUCUUCAGUUGUGUCAUUUCCUUUGUAUUUUUGACCACGAACAAAGAAUAUGAGAUUAGACGGUUUAUCUUGAAUGAUAGAGAUAGGGCCAUAUAAUUCUGAAAACAUAAACAAUUAAAGUAAAAGAAGUAUUCUUAAAUAAAAAUAUAAAAUAACAUAUUCUAUCAUACAUACCUAAUUCAUGUAAAGUUCUAUGCCAUGAUAUUGAUGAUUUAGGUUCAGAAAUUGUGGCACAAACCAUUGAAUUGUCACAAGGUAAAACAUAUAAAAAUACAACUAUUGUUAUAAUACAAAGUAAUAUAGAUAUAACCAAACAGAAUCGGCGAAGGGGAGACAUGUCACGUGGUUUCCAUAAAUCAUUUUGAUCAUUCCCCUCAAUUACCAUUAUUGGUAUGUCGUCUCUGUAAUAUUUAAGCAUAUUCUGUCCAUUUUUCAUCCGAUUCGUUGCAUUUUUUGUUUCAUCCAAAGGAUAAUAUAUUCCAUUUUCAUGAACUAUUGUUGAUUCCUGUAAUUUAAAAAGUUCAUAACAUACUUUCUACAUUCUUCAUGGAAAGUAAAUGUACUUUCUAUCGCACGAACAUAAUAUAAAUAAAGUAUAACUUUUUUACAUGUGUUCUAUAAUAAGCACUGCAGGAUAUAAUUUCAUUGAUUAGUAUUUAAUUGCCUUGCUCUAAUGUUACAACUUUUAUCUUAAUGACUGAUAAUUAGAAAGUCUUCCAGAUAAUAUAGAACAAAGGAAGUAAUAAAUAUUAUCUUGAAACAGCUUUAUUAUUAUGCCACAAGACAACAGAAUACUAAGUUCUAUCGAAAUACUGUUGCAUUUGAGAAAUAUGAAUAUGCGUUUAAAAAUGUACUGUAGUCAUUUAUUAUUUAUACAACUCAAUAUUCGUUUCCCAUUCGAAUUAUGCUUAAAAUAAAUAUAUUGUUGAUGAUCAAUGCUCUUUCCAUGGAAGUGUAUAUUAUGUGUGGUUGUUCAUAUAAUACUUUUCACAUCUUUUUGGAAUCAUCAACUUAGUAUGCUUUAAACGUUAUUCAUCUUAUCGAAUAUAAUAGAUUGAAAGCAUCUUUUUGAAUUUCAUCUUACCGCUAAAGCAUCAUCUGUAUGUUCUUUAGGAGUUUCGUUUUGUUGUGGCAAACAAUCUUCAUCCUCUGUAUCAGUGUUGCUUAUGCUUUGUGGCAAAGGCGCAUAACCUUUGCCACUGUGAUGAUCAAUCGACAUGCCAAAUGAAGCUUCUAUGAAAUAUCACCCACUUCCAAAAACAGAACUCAAUGUUUAUGUGGAUACAUGCAGAGCUGAGGAGAUGGCGAGCCUAAAGAAUGCGGGUACGAUUGGUUGUAACGCGUAGCUCCACCUCGCCUCACACGUAUUGUCAGUAUUACCCUACUAUUGGCCUAGACAGUCACAUCUACAGUAAUAAUCGUACAACAAAGAGAGUGAAUACGUGUGUUACCUUUUUGUCACGGAGUGUACGGCGUAGAUUGUGCAGUCUACGCUGACAAUGCAACAAAGAAUGACCUUAUCGGGAUAAGACAAAUUUGUGGCACCUUCAGGUAUUUACCGAUACCGCUUUCUCUUCUGUGGUCUUCCGACCACUAAAAUCGAGUUAUUGUAGAAAACGUUAUCAGACUGCGUUUUUUUAAGAUACCACUUAUUGUUUUGUAUAUUUUACAUAUAAUAAUAAACAAAUUGUGCCAAUGGAAUAUACAAAUUGUAUCAUAAUCGGACAAUGGUAUUGGGUAACAAUAUCUAAUUCAGAAAUCCCAACAUUUUUGAAUUUUGUGAAACUUAGUUUUAAAUUAAAAGAGAGAGACUGAUAACUCUUCUUUAUGUAUAAAAAAAAAUAAAUGUACAGAAAAAACAAGAAA